AUUUAUUUGACAAGAUGCGUUUACUUGUAGUGCUUUUAGUUUUCGGAGUUGUUUGCCGAGAAACCUAGUCCAAGAAAUUCCAGCAGAUUGGAGGAAAAUAUAUGCCCACUUGGUUAGCAUCCAAAACUAUCGAGAGUGGGACUCAAUCACUAAUCAUUUAACAAGAUGCAAGUCCUACUGGGUAGACAUCAGAGAUGUUGGGUCAAACAAUUACUUCAUGUCGGACACUUCCGGACGGGAAGCUCCUUUUUUGAAAUGGUCCCCUGGGCACCCACGUUAUAACGAUGAUUAUGAUUGUGUGAAGCUCACAAAGAACAGCCAUAAAAUGAAAACCUGGCCUUGCAGCCAGCAAAACCAUUAUAUUUGUGAGACCUAAAGUCGUUAUUUCCCUAUUCAAUCCAUAUAACACCAAAAUUACGCCGAAGUAGUAUUGAGUUUGGGCAAAUUCCGGAUUUUCCUAAUGUUAGAAGGAACAUACUUAAUUUUUUUAUUCCCAGAAAUUCUUGUUUUAAUCCUGACUAUUCUUAAAAAUUGUAAUCCCAAAAAUUUUAAAUUAUUUUAAUGUACAAUUCAAAAUUUAAGCCCCCACUCAGAAAUGGUGUCAAGGUUUACUUGAUGGUUUCAAAUAAUUCUAUGAAGCAAUCCAAUUAUUGCUGCGACUGCUCGAAAUCUCUAGAAUCAUUAAUGAUCGAUCUAUAUUAUUCAAAUCAUAUUUACCUUUAAAUAAAUGUGUAAUAAUAGAGAAAUAAAUAUGUUGAAAUGCAGAAAUGCAGUUGGUAGGCGGCAUGAAAGCAUCCGGACAUAUCGCCAAUCAGUAUUAUUAAA